GAGCAGUUGUGGACCUCUUUGCUCAGGGGGAGCAGCACUCAUUUGUGAACUUGUUGAAGUCCUGAAAGCAGAAUUGGUGUAGACUGUGUGUGUAGGCCACUCUGUGCUGGCAUUGAUGCAAAGCAGGACUAAGACGAGAGCGAGAACAUUCAAUGUCUUCAUGGUUGCAGUGGCAGUUUGCAGGAUUGAUUCUUCCCGUCUCUCGCUACUCUUCUGUGGGUUAGCUGCUCCUUCCU
rnacentral:lncRNA from 1 species